rnacentral:rRNA from 1 species
GACGAACGCUGGCGGCAUGCCUAAUACAUGCAAGUCGAACGAGCUUCCGUUGAAUGACGUGAUUGCACUGAUUUCAACAAUGAAGCGAGUGGCGAACUGGUGAGUAACACGUGGGAAAUCUGCCCAGAAGCAGGGGAUAACACUUGGAAACAGGUGCUAAUACCGUAUAACACAAAAUCCGCAUGGGUUUUGUUUGAAAGGUGGCUUCGGCUAUCACUUCUGG